rnacentral:lncRNA from 1 species
AGCGUUGCUCUUGGAUAAGUAUCAAUAACCUCAGAACUAUGGAAAGAACCAUGUGUGGAGUUUGGCACCACAGAUAUUCUCUGAGUGAUUGAAGUCUCUUCUACCAUGAGGCCUUGAAAGCUCCAUGAUAGAGAUGACAGAGCUAUAAGAUGAAAGCAGCCCAAAUCCCUGAGUCACCAAUGUUUGAAGAAGAGCUUCCCAGGAGAGGUACAGUAAAAGCCUUGCCAUCACUCCCAUUAUACAGAGGAAGAAACUGAGACCUAGAGAAGUUCAGAACCUUGCUACAUCAAUCAGAAGUACAAGCCAAGGCUCAUGAAGUGGUUUCCUUAUUUUCUCACCCCAAGUUAGGAUCACCUCCGAAGGAAAUGACUUACACCCAAAUCAGGAUCUGUUUUUGAGGGAACCCAACAUAACACAUGGAGAGAUGGGUUUCCUAUGAAGAAGGAAAUAUGGGCUGUAAAAUACCACGGAGAGUCAGACCACCCCAUUCCUUUUUGAAUUGUCCAUGGCUGCUUUCCUGCUACAACAGAAGUUGAGUUAUUGCAACAGAGGUCGUCUGGGCCACAAGAUCUAAAGUAUUUACUCUGGCCCUUGAUGGAAGAAACUUGUC